UUGAUCAGAAAAUUCAGUCCAUUUUCCCCAUUUUAUUCGACCAUUUGAAGAGACAAAGUUGAGAGAAAAAGUUCAUCUCGGUUUUCACUACUAUACCUUCACGAAAAUGGCUAUCACCGGAGAUAUAACCGUUGGAUCUCCCUGAAAUCUGGACAGAACGUUUAGGACAUCUGGGCCUUCAUUAUUACCGGAGCGAUUGUGAAUCUGAGCUAUAGAUUAUCGGAAAUCAAGAUCAGAGCAGAGCAACACAUAGAGGAAUUUAUGAUGUUCAAGAAGGAGAAUGCUAGUAAUUAGAGGUCUUCAAAGGAUAUGUUGAUGAGAAUCUUAUUUGGUUUUGGGCUCGGGUUGAGAUGUGAGCAUUAAAAUGUUAGAUGUUUUAGGCCUAGACUCUUUAUUAAUUUAAGAGUUAGUUUUCUCUUUUGGUUGUCAAUUUAAUUUAUUUAUACUAUUUAUUUAUGUUUGUUUUUUUUCACUUAGAUUUUUAAACGCAUUUCUUGUAGUAGUGACAUUCCCAGAAGACGAUGUUUCCGCCAUCGUCCUAUACUUCUAUUAUUAUUAUUUUUUUCUUUUCUGCUUUGAAA